rnacentral:rRNA from 1 species
GAUGAACGCUGGCGGCGUGCCUAAUACAUGCAAGUCGAGCGAACAGAUGAGGAGCUUGCUCCUCUGACGUUAGCGGCGGACGGGUGAGUAACACGUGGAUAACCUACCUAUAAGACUGGGAUAACUUCGGGAAACCGGAGCUAAUACCGGAUAAUAUAUUGAACCGCAUGGUUCAAUAGUGAAAGACGGUUUUGCUGUCACUUAUAGAUGGAUCCGCGCCGCAUUAGCUAGUUGGUAAGGUAACGGCUUACCAAGGCAACGAUGCGUAGCCGACCUGAGAGGGUGAUCGGCCACACUGGAACUGAGACACGGUCCAGACUCCUACGGGAGGCAGCAGUAGGGAAUCUUCCACAAUGGGCGAAAGCCUGACGGAGCAACGCCGCGUGAGUGAUGAAGGUCUUCGGAUCGUAAAACUCUGUUAUUAGGGAAGAACAAAUGUGUAAGUAACUAUGCACGUCUUGACGGUACCUAAUCAGAAAGCCCCGGCUAACUACGUG